rnacentral:misc_RNA from 1 species
AAUCUUCGUAAUCUAUAAAUCUGAAGGUUUUCUUUUGCAAUCUUCAGUUAUAAACAACACAACUCUUUCUCUCUUCUCUGCUAACUCACCCAAUCUUCUUCAUGGCAAGUGAAAUUACUAGCGAGGCAGCAGUAGCAUCUUCUUCCCUUCCACUCAAUGGUCGGGUAGCUAUAGUAACUGGAGGUUCGCGUGGAAUUGGACGUGCUAUUUCCACUCACCUUCACUCCCUAGGUGCAAGAGUUGUGAUCAAUUAUGCUUCAAGUUCCACCCAAGCUGAUCUCCUUGCAUCUGAGCUCAAUGCCUCAGCUGCAUCAGCUUCUCGUCCACAAGCGGUUGCUAUCAGAGCUGAUGUUUCAGACCCAUAUCAAGUCAAGCAACUCUUUGACAGAGCCGAGCAAGAAUUUGGCUCAAAAAUCCAUAUCCUCGUAAACUGUGCUGGAAUUAUGGAUCCAAAGUACCCCACUUUGGCCAAAACAACAGUGGAGGACUGGGAUAUGACUUUCAAUGUCAACGCCAAGGGUGCAUUCCUGUGUUGUCGCGAGGCAGCUAAUAGGUUGGCUCGGGAAGUUGGUGGAAGAAUCAUAACAAUAACAACAUCUAUCGUUGGAUCAAAUCUUCCAGGAUAUGCAGCUUAUGCUGCCUCCAAGGCAGCAGUGGAGACAAUGACAAAGAUUCUAGCCAAGGAGCUGAAGGGUACAGGAAUAACUGCUAAUAGUGUUGCUCCAGGACCUGUGGCUACAGAGCUGUUUUUUUCAGGUAAAACUGAGGAAACAGUGAAGAGAAUGGCUGACUCUUGCCCUUUAGGCCGACUUGGUGAGCCUAAGGAUGUAAGUCAAGUUGUGGGAUUCUUGGCUAGUGAUGCAGGGCAGUGGAUCAAUGGACAAGUCAUUAGGGUUAAUGGGGGAUCCGUUAUCUAAAUGUUAUGUGUGUCUACUUAUCUGAGACUUGUACUUUCCUUUUAUAUGUUCUUGAAUUUGUUUACCUCUGCCACUAUUUGUACCUUUUUUUUUAAUUUACCCGUCUAAUUUACUUGUUGAAAUCAAAAGAGUACUAGAAUCGAA